rnacentral:rRNA from 1 species
UACGUAGGGUGCGAGCGUUGUCCGGAAUUAUUGGGCGUAAAGGGCUCGUAGGCGGUCUGUCGCGUCGGGAGUGAAAACUCAGGGCUUAACCCUGAGCCUGCUUCCGAUACGGGCAGACUAGAGGUAUGCAGGGGAGAACGGAAUUCCUGGUGUAGCGGUGGAAUGCGCAGAUAUCAGGAGGAACACCGGUGGCGAAGGCGGUCUCUGGGCAUUACCUGACGCUGAGGAGCGAAAGUGUGGGAGCGAACAGG